UGGUAGAAAAGAUAAGCAAUUAGAUCAAUAUGCGGAAAUUGCUAAACUAGCUGGUAAAGCUGCAGCAUCUGCUCCUCCAUCCUCCAAGGCUAAAUACUCAUCAUCGACCGAUAGUGAACAAGUACCGUGAGGGAAAGGCGAAAAGAACCCCGGGAGGGGAGUGAAAUAGAUCCUGAAACCGCAAUGUAUCGUGACUGGGAAACCGAGUCUUAACUGGGCGACUAGUUGCAGGGUGUAGACCCGAAACCGAGUGAUCUAGCCAUGGGCAGGUUGAAGGUGCCGUAACAGGUACUGGAGGACCGAACCCACUAAUGUUGCAAAAUUAGGGGAUGACCUGUGGCUAGGGGUGAAAGGCCAAUCAAACUCGGAGAUAUCUGGUUCUCCCCGAAAGCUAUUUAGGUAGCGCCUCGGACGAAUACUACUGGGGGUAGAGCACUGUUUCGACUAGGGGGUCAUCCCGACUUACCAACUCGAUGCAAACUCCGAAUACCAGUAAGUACUAUCCGGGAGACACACGGCGGGUGCUAACGUCCGUCGUGAAGAGGGAAACAACCCAGACCGCCAGCUAAGGUCCCAAAGUACUAGUUAAGUGGGAAACGAUGUGGGAAGGCUUAGACAGCUAGGAUGUUGGCUUAGAAGCAGCCAUCAUUUAAAGAAAGCGUAAUAGCUCACUAGUCGAGUCGGCCUGCGCGGAAGAUGUAACGGGGCUAAACUAGUCACCGAAGCUGCGGAUUUGCCGUAAGGCAAGUGGUAGGGGAGCGUUCUGUAAGCCUGUGAAGGUGUGUGGUAACGCAUGCUGGAGGUAUCAGAAGUGCGAAUGCUGACGUGAGUAACGUUAAAGGGAGUGAAAGACUCCCUCGCCGGAAGACCAAGGGUUCCUGUCCAACGUUAAUCGGGGCAGGGUGAGUCGGCCCCUAAGGCGAGGCUGAAAGGCGUAGUCGAUGGGAAGCGGGUUAAUAUUCCUGCACUUUUUGUAACUGCGAUGGGGGGACGGAGAAGGCUAAGUAGGCCAGCGGUUGGUAGAGCUGGUGAAAGGUGGUAGGCAGAGAUGAUAGGUAAAUCCGUUGUCUUAUAUGUCGAGAGCCGAGACGAAGUGACUACGGUCAUGAAGUUACUGAUGCCACGCUUCCAGGAAAAGCCUCUAAGCUUCAGGUUACAAAGAACCGUACCCGAAACCAACACUGGUGGUCAGGUAGAGAAUACCAAGGCGCUUGAGAGAACUCGGGUGAAGGAACUAGGCAAAAUAGUACCGUAACUUCGGGAGAAGGUACGCUGUUGUUGGUGAAGGACCUGCGUCCGGAGCUGAUGACAGCCGCAGUGACCAGGUGGCUGGGACUGUUUAACAAAAACACAGCACUCUGCAAACACGAAAGUGGACGUAUAGGGUGUGACACCUGCCCGGUGCCGGAAGGUUAAUUGAUGGGGUUAGCGCAAGCGAAGCUCUUGAUCGAAGCCCCGGUAAACGGCGGCCGUAACUAUAACGGUCCUAAGGUAGCGAAAUUCCUUGUCGGGUAAGUUCCGACCUGCACGAAUGGUGUAACGAUGGCCACACUGUCUCCUCCUGAGACUCAGCGAAGUUGAAAUGUUUGUGAUGAUGCAAUCUCCCCGCGGAAAGACGGAAAGACCCCAUGAACCUUUACUGUAGCUUUGUAUUGGACUUUGA
rnacentral:rRNA from 1 species